rnacentral:rRNA from 1 species
GUUUGAUCAUGGCUCAGGAUGAACGCUGGCGGCGUGCCUAAUACAUGCAAGUCGAACGAGUUCUCGUUGAUGAUCGGUGCUUGCACCGAGAUUCAACAUGGAACGAGUGGCGGACGGGUGAGUAACACGUGGGUAACCUGCCCUUAAGUGGGGGAUAACAUUUGGAAACAGAUGCUAAUACCGCAUAGAUCCAAGAACCGCAUGGUUCUUGGCUGAAAGAUGGCGUAAGCUAUCGCUUUUGGAUGGACCCGCGGCGUAUUAGCUAGUUGGUGAGGUAAUGGCUCACCAAGGCGAUGAUACGUAGCCGAACUGAGAGGUUGAUCGGCCACAUUGGGACUGAGACACGGCCCAAACUCCUACGGGAGGCAGCAGUAGGGAAUCUUCCACAAUGGACGCAAGUCUGAUGGAGCAACGCCGCGUGAGUGAAGAAGGCUUUCGGGUCGUAAAACUCUGUUGUUGGAGAAGAAUGGUCGGCAGAGUAACUGUUGUCGGCGUGACGGUAUCCAACCAGAAAGCCACGGCUAACUACGUGCCAGCAGCCGCGGUAAUACGUAGGUGGCAAGCGUUAUCCGGAUUUAUUGGGCGUAAAGCGAGCGCAGGCGGUUUUUUAAGUCUGAUGUGAAAGCCCUCGGCUUAACCGAGGAAGCGCAUCGGAAACUGGGAAACUUGAGUGCAGAAGAGGACAGUGGAACUCCAUGUGUAGCGGUGAAAUGCGUAGAUAUAUGGAAGAACACCAGUGGCGAAGGCGGCUGUCUGGUCUGUAACUGACGCUGAGGCUCGAAAGGCAUGACCCCCC